AGAACGAACGCUGGCGGCAUGCCUAAUACAUGCAAGUCGAACGAACUCUUCGGAGUUAGUGGCGCACGGGUGCGUAACGCGUGGGAAUCUGCCCUUGGGUUCGGAAUAACAGUUGGAAACGACUGCUAAUACCGGAUGAUGACGAAAGUCCAAAGAUUUAUCGCCCAGGGAUGAGCCCGCGUAGGAUUAGCUAGUUGGUGAGGUAAAGGCUCACCAAGGCGACGAUCCUUAGCUGGUCUGAGAGGAUGAUCAGCCACACUGGGACUGAGACACGGCCCAGACUCCGUACGGGAGGCAGCAGUA
rnacentral:rRNA from 1 species